rnacentral:rRNA from 1 species
UAGGGAAUCUUCCGCAAUGGGCGAAAGCCUGACGGAGCAACGCCGCGUGAGUGAUGAAGGUCUUCGGAUCGUAAAACUCUGUUAUUAGGGAAGAACAAAUGUGUAAGUAACUAUGCACGUCUUGACGGUACCUAAUCAGAAAGCCACGGCUAACUACGUGCCAGCAGCCGCGGUAAUACGUAGGUGGCAAGCGUUAUCCGGAAUUAUUGGGCGUAAAGCGCGCGUAGGCGGUUUUUUAAGUCUGAUGUGAAAGCCCACGGCUCAACCGUGGAGGGUCAUUGGAAACUGGAAAACUUGAGUGCAGAAGAGGAAAGUGGAAUUCCAUGUGUAGCGGUGAAAUGCGCAGAGAUAUGGAGGAACACCAGUGGCGUAGGCGACUUUCUGGUCUGUAACUGACGCUGAUGUGCGAAAGCGUGGGGAUCAAACAGG